rnacentral:rRNA from 1 species
CCUACGGGAGGCAGCAGUGAGGAAUAUUGGUCAAUGGACGAGAGUCUGAACCAGCCAAGUCGCGUGAAGGAUGACUGCCCUAUGGGUUGUAAACUUCUUUUAUAUGGGAAUAAAACGUUCCACGCGUGGCAUUUUGUAUGUACCAUAUGAAUAAGCAUCGGCUAACUCCGUGCCAGCAGCCGCGGUAAUACGGAGGAUCCGAGCGUUAUCCGGAUUUAUUGGGUUUAAAGGGAGCGUAGGUGGUUUGUUAAGUCAGAUGUGAAAGUUUGCGGCUCAACCGUAAAAUUGCAGUUGAAACUGGCAGUCUUGAGUACAGUAGAGGUAGGCGGAAUUCGUGGUGUAGCGGUGAAAUGCUUAGAUAUCACGAAGAACUCCGAUGGCGAAGGCAGUUCACUGGACUGCAACUGACACUGAGGCUCGAAAGUGUGGGUAUCAAACAGGAUUAGAUACCCCUGUAGUC